rnacentral:rRNA from 1 species
UACGAGGGGGGCGAGCGUUGUUCGGAAUUAUUGGGCGUAAAGGGUGCGUAGGCGGUUUGAUAAGUCUGAUGUGAAAUCUAUGGGCUCAACCCAUAGCCUGCAUUAGAAACUGUCGGGCUUGAGUAUGGGAGAGGUGAGUGGAAUUCCCAGUGUAGAGGUGAAAUUCGUAGAUAUUGGGAAGAACACCGGUGGCGAAGGCGGCUCACUGGCCCGAAACUGACGCUCAUGCACGACAGCGUGGGGAUCAAACAGG